UACGUAGGGGGCAAGCGUUGUCCGGAUUUAUUGGGCGUAAAGAGCGUGUAGGCGGCCAUGUAGGUCCGUUGUGAAAACUCGAGGCUCAAUCUCGAGACGCCGAUGGAAACCAUGUGGCUAGAGUCCGGAAGAGGAGAGUGGAAUUCCUGGUGUAGCGGUGAAAUGCGCAGAUAUCAGGAAGAACACCCGUGGCUAAGGCGGCUCUCUAGUACGGUACUGACGCUGAGACGCGAAAGCGUGGGGAGCGAACAGG
rnacentral:rRNA from 1 species